rnacentral:tRNA from 1 species
CUAGAUAGGCGGGCUUUGAUCCCACGAAAAUUUAGUUAACAGCUAAACACCCAAUCCAGCGGGCUUCUAUCCGCUUCUCCCGUGCUUAAAAACGGGAGA